rnacentral:rRNA from 1 species
UACGGAGGGGACUAGCGUUGUUCGGAAUUACUGGGCGUAAAGCGCACGUAGGCGGAUUUGUAAGUCAGGGGUGAAAUCCUGGAGCUCAACUCCAGAACUGCCCUUGAUACUGGCGGUCUCGAGUCCGGGAGAGGUGAGUGGAACUGCGAGUGUAGAGGUGAAAUUCGUAGAUAUUCGCAAGAACACCAGUGGCGAAGGCGGCUCACUGGCCCGGUACUGACGCUGAGGUGCGAAAGCGUGGGGAGCAAACAGG